CAGCCCUGCUGACAGUGGCUUCUUUACCCCCUGGGCAGCAGGGGCUGGUGGACUUUGGAGGAGGCGGCCGAGACGUGCCGGAGCAGCUGACUGUCAGCUCAGGUCCAGGAAGCCGUGAGCAAAGGAGAGCGACUGCGAAGGGCCUCCUCCACCUGCCAGAAGAGGGGAGGGAAGGUAACAGCCUUGGGCUCGAGCCCGGGGACCUCUGCCAGCGGCCACGUCCAGCCCACAGCCCCAGGGAGGGCCAGGAGGAACCACAGAGCCCGAUCUCCCCAGGCUGGGGGCCGAGCCCAGGCGAACCCGCCUCCCCAGGGGGCUUCAGAUGCAGAAAUCAGCUUUCUGUCCUAGAAUGGAGCCCAGCCGCCCGGGCCUGUCGUCACAGCGUCCGAAGUCUGUCCCAUCAGAGGCCAGCUGCCCGGAGGGUAACGCAGGCUCAGCUCUCUCUGGCUUUGGGAGUGCUUGCUUGCUUCCCAGGGCUCACAGACGAGGCCAUCUGCUGCCAUCCUGGCUCCCUUGGUUCUGUUCAAUGUCCUGGCGACUCAGGACCAUGACACUCUUCCCCAAACCCCAUUGAAAAUGCAGCUCUUCUAGCCUUGAGAGCCUGCCUUCCAACCUCAGGUGCUUGUCCAGCUACUGCUGAGCUAUUGACUGCAGGAGUACCUCCAGGCCUUGGGCAACUCUACUUUCCCUGGCCAGGGGCCCACUCUUGCUGCAGACUCUUCUUCCCUAACCCGAGUGCAUGCCAGCCAUCUUCAUUCAAGCCCUUUCCCACCCCCCUAAAGCCUCCAGCCCUGCUGCCUUCUGAGGUCCCCCACCUGGCUGAGAGCCUCCUCCCUGUGCUGAGAAGUGCCGCCACCAGUCUUCGCUCCCAUGCGUUCCUACAACCCUGACUGGUACCUAGACUUCUGUGAUGCUUCACAGUGGGUUUCUGCAGUCAGCUCCCUUCCCCUUUCUUGAUUUCAAAUCUUCUCCAUGCUCCUGAAGCUUUGGGUCCCUCAUCUCCUCC
ensembl:lncRNA